CCCUACAAGGCUACAACAUGUAUAUUCUCAAGUCAAUGCUUGAAAACAAUCCAAAUAAAUCAAUUAUAGUGAUGUUAGCAAUUUUAAUCAAAUAAAUCAAUUAUAAUACCUCUAUGAACUCUUUCCAAGCCUCGUCAUCCGCUGUGAACAGUUGAGUGUUGGGAUUCCAGCCAAAGCCGCUUUUUUCUUACCUAUCAAGUUUAAAAGUUUUAUUGUUAAUCAAUUUUUUCAUAAUAGUAUAAUUAUAUUAGUAUAGGGUAUUUAUAUACUACCAGUGGGCACCGUUAACCUCCGUUCCCUAUGAGCAACUGCACUCCUCAACAAACUUCCAUCAUGUGCUGAUCCUUCCCACCCCACCAUUACAUAUGUAAAUUUCAUAUCAAAAGUACAUGCAACCAAGACAUUUUGAGAAAUAAACCCUUUACGAUUUCGAUAGCUUGGUUGAUCAAUCAAAGGUAUAUUUGCUGGGAUAUGUGUCCCAUCAAUCGCGCCAAUAGCAUCCUAUAUUAGAUAAACCAUUUACUUUUAGCAUCCUCAGUAAAGUAACUUAGAAGUAUAUAUUUGGUUGCCAAUUUCACGGACAACUCACCUUGAAGUGAUGAUGCCAAGGCUGCCUAUAGCUUCCAUCGGCUGGAGAAUUAUCUUUUGUGGCGGGUUUCACAACAUCUUUAUAGAGUUUAAGUAAUGCUCUCAGAACCACAUGAAAGUAAUGACUGACUGUUUGGGUUGAUCGAAAGAAAUGAAGUUCAGAAUUACAUAGACGAGUAUCAUGACCAACCGUAUACAAGAAAAUGGCCACUUGCUCCUUCACUGACACGAAACGACUAUCCACUAACCCAUAAGAACGCAAGCGAGCACAUAGUCGAUUAAAUGGGCCUAUUUUUAGUCUUAGGUUUUUAUUACAAAUCCGAUCACUCUCACUAUACAUUCUUUCAAGUAUUGCCGACCUCUCUUGAUCUCUAUUUCUAUAAGGACCCCUAAGAAACCUCCUCCUACGUAAACGACAAUAGAGAAUAGAAAAAUUCAUGAGGAUAGUCAUAAGAGCGGCAGCUGCACGUCGUUUUUGUUCUAGAGUGGGCAUUCCGUUAUAUGACUAAAAUCCAAACAAAAAAAAAAAUUAAAUAAGAACCAAUUCACAUUCAAUGAAACAAAAUAGAUUUUCGUCAAUUACAAAACACAAAUUAAAUGAAAUGAUGACUGUAGCUUCUGUGCAGGAAAACAGCUUGGAAAGCAAAUUUAUAAAUGAGGAAUCAUCAAUGAAAAAAAAAGGUACUGUAAUAAUAGUCUAUUAAACAUAUAUGACAUAAGUACUGGACUACUGGGUAGUGGUUACCUCUGUAUUUGACUUGUAGACAUUGUAUAAGUAAUUUGGGUAGGAUAUCAGAAAAAUGGAGCAUCACACUAAUGAGAAAGAAAUGGAUUUUAUGGUGAUCACCUUAGGUAAAAUAGAAACCAUCAAGCAGGAUGACAUAGAAGAUUACCAGUUCAUUCAAAUAUGAAGACCAUGUGAGUAAAAUAAUUCAAAGUGUUAAAGAAAGGUAAGGUGAAUCCCAGUUGAGGAAGUCCCAAACAUUUUGAGAAGUUCCCCGGCUUAACAAAUCACAUUUAAUCACAGAUGGAUCUAAUCCAUUGUAACAAGGCAUGUUUGCCAGCAUAACAAAUACUAAUACUAGAAAUUAAGUACUUCUGUACACUUGACACAAAAACACGCUAAAAAGUUUUCUUUAUUUGACAAGCUUUAGUGAAUUAAUCCAAACCUUGACAUGGUUUAACAAAAUGGUAAAAUUGCGUAGGUAUUUUGGUGUUUAACAAAAUGGUAAAAGAGAGAAUAUUAAAUUUUUUGUCAACUCAAUUUCUGCUUCAAGUCGCCUGAUCCACACUCCAUCUACGGCAAAAAUGAUUUUCACUCAAGAUGCUAUGAGGCGUGCAAGUACGCAAAAUUAUACACAAAAGACUACUUAUUUAGCACGACGAUAAGGACUACUUGUUUUUCGACACCAAUAGUACCAUUAGGAUAUCGAUUCGUUUAGAAUGUGUUAAACCACAUAAGUAUUGUAUUUUAAAUUUGUGGUGACGAAGAUCAAUAAACAAUUCACAAAUAAAAAAUACAUACCUUCUGGCUUCUCCUUUCGACUUUUUUUUUCCUUCGCCAGCUUAACCU
rnacentral:lncRNA from 1 species